rnacentral:rRNA from 1 species
CGGUAGCUAAUACCGCAUAACGUCGCAAGACCAAAGAGGGGGACCUUCGGGCCUCUUGCCAUCGGAUGUGCCCAGAUGGGAUUAGCUAGUAGGUGGGGUAACGGCUCACCUAGGCGACGAUCCCUAGCUGGUCUGAGAGGAUGACCAGCCACACUGGAACUGAGACACGGUCCAGACUCCUACGGGAGGCAGCAGUGGGGAAUAUUGCACAAUGGGCGCAAGCCUGAUGCAGCCAUGCCGCGUGUAUGAAGAAGGCCUUCGGGUUGUAAAGUACUUUCAGCGGGGAGGAAGGGAGUAAAGUUAAUACCUUUGCUCAUUGACGUUACCCGCAGAAGAAGCACCGGCUAACUCCGUGCCAGCAGCCGCGGUAAUACGGAGGGUGCAAGCGUUAAUCGGAAUUACUGGGCGUAAAGCGCACGCAGGCGGUUUGUUAAGUCAGAUGUGAAAUCCCCGGGCUCAACCUGGGAACUGCAUCUGAUACUGGCAAGCUUGAGUCUCGUAGAGGGGGGGUAGAAUUCCCAGGUGUAGCGGUGAAAAUGCGUAGAGAUCUGGAGGAAUACCGGUGGCCAAAGGCGG